AAUAAGUAUGGCUUAUCCGAAGGAGAAUUGGGCACUGAUUCCGAUGAGCUAUGUCUCGAGCCGAUCAGAGAAGAGGAACCGUGUCAAAUUUCAUAAAUAACACCUUCCAUAUUUGGAAAUUGGGCUUGAUGACGUGCGUACUGCUUAGCUGUCACCAUGCUGUGCAUGCUCAGCAGUGUAAUUGAAUGGAAGAAAACAAUUACUUUGGUGUUUUGCAGCUCUGGUUCGUUCCCUGACGGUAACCAAAUCUAGAUGUAGGAAUCUGUUGAGCAGGAGAGUGACACAUGUCUUCCCGAGGGCUGUCCAGGCUGCAGUGGUGAUGAAGAAGACACGAUCAUCACCCCGAGAUCCAUUGUAGCGAAUUGGAAAACUCAUGGUGAAUUUGCUUCCACUCCAAGGCAAUGUCGAGGUAUGAAGGGUGCUUGUAAUGCCUUCCAAAGUGAAGAGGAGAUGAACAUGGCUUUGCAUAGCUGUUGUUCUACGCCAACUUACCUACUCUUGCUGGUACCGUAGUGGCAUAUUGCAAAUUUCGUGGACGAACAACUCUAGUCACUAGUGGCUAGUGAGCAACACUAACAGACCAGAAUGCUUCGCUAUCAACUCCUGGCUUUCCAUCGGCAUGGUGUUCAGCUGCAGCGGCAUCUGGUCCGGGGAGUUGCUGGAUGGCUGCACUGACACAGGAUGGGUUUGCGUUGGCAAUGCGAUACGGCAGUCAUCCCACAUCAUGAGCUACAUGUUUAUGUAAUUUAUAUUGUCGCUCGUCCAGCAACGUCAAGGCUCUGCAUGUAAACACAGGAGAACACCAUAAUACUACUGAGGGGAUAAUAUUACAAUUUUGGAUUAUCAAUUUCGUGACAUUUAUGAGCAAGUUCCUGUUUAAACCAUGCUGUGAUAUUGAUUGCUAUCUGCUCACAAAGUACCUUGUAUUGUAACAAUACUCUGCCUAAUCACCACCCUCCGCCAAUUAUUAGAUUCACACAAUAUUCACAACGUAUGCAACACGAUGCUGUCUAUUGACACUACUUCGAACUGAAAUGCUCACUACUCUUCUCCCGUUUUCAUCUCCCUCUACCUUAUGAAUACUCUACAUUACUGGUUUCGUUUCUACCCUUUCCAUUGCUACCAGCUCCCAGUCUUUUUCAAUGCACAGCACCACCUUGAAUUUUUUUGUGAUUUGAUGUACACAUACUUUGAAGUUGAAAUUCGAAUUACAUGAUCAGAUUUUUGUUCCACAUUUUCUAUUUAUUUUUACUUCAAGCACAACCCUACCGACGAAGGGAAAGAAGCAGCAGAGAGA